UACGUAGGGUGCGAGCGUUAAUCGGAAUUACUGGGCGUAAAGCGUGCGCAGGCGGCGCGUUAAGACAGGUGUGAAAGCCCCGAGCUUAACUUGGGAAUUGCGCUUGUGACUGGCGUGCUGGAGUGUGGCAGAGGGAGGUGGAAUUCCACGUGUAGCGGUGAAAUGCGUAGAGAUGUGGAGGAACACCAGUGGCGAAGGCGGCUUUCUGGUCUGUAACUGACGCUGAGGCGCGAAAGCGUGGGGAGCAAACAGG
rnacentral:rRNA from 1 species